UACGGGGGGUGCAAGCGUUGUCCGGAAUCAUUGGGCGUAAAGCGUUCGUAGGCGGCAAGGUAAGUCUGAUGUUAAAGCCCGGGGCUCAACUCCGGUUCGGCAUUGGAUACUAUCUAGCUAGAAUGUGGUAGAGGUAAAGGGAAUUCCUGGUGUAGCGGUGAAAUGCGUAGAUAUUAGGAGGAACACCAGUGGCGAAGGCGGCCUGCUGGACUGCAACUGACGUUGAGGCUCGAAGGCGUGGGGAGCAAACAGG
rnacentral:rRNA from 1 species